AUGCAUCCCCAGCUCUAUGGUUCUCCAGUGAGUUUUGGAGCCCUAUUUCUCCCCCUCAGGCAGCACCUGGGGGGUGCUGCGAUCCUGAUUCUGGAUUCUGAGAUCCAGAAAAGCAGCUGUGGGAGCACAGAGCUAGCGGGUGCUGAGGUCCAGCAAAGGCUCCCCUGGUUCUGUGCCAGUCCCAAAAACCAACCACGGCUGGCACUCGGAGAACCCAGCACCCAGACAGAGCUCCUGAAAGGCACGGCUGGGUGCUCCAGGGAGCAUGGAAAACCCAAAUAUUUUGGCUUCCUUUUUAUCACUAAGGAAUUGAUAACGCGUUGGAGGAUAAUGGCACAGCCAGGAUCAGAAGAAACCGCUCCCCGAUUCUCCCUCGGGGGUGGAUUCCUGUCUGCUGCAAGGCGAGGGGCUCGUGGGGGCGAUUCCUCAAGGUGCAGCCACCGUGCCAGUGACUUCAAGCACUUGCCAUUAUCACCAGACACCGAAACCCAUCGAAACCUUAACUUUGCUCUCAGCACCGCGUGCCCGGUCCCCGCAGGUAGCUGGUGCUCGCUUUUUGGGGAAGCCUCUGGGUCACGACCACCUCGCGCUGGCAUGGAGAAACGACAGAGGGGGAAGCAACCCAAGUGUUUACCCACGUUUACAUUGCAGCGUCAGCUCCUUCUCAGUUCUGACUGCAUGAGCCGUGCAUCUCCCCCUCAAACGAGAGCAGAACAGCCAAGUUACCCCACUGCUUUCUACACGAGGCACCAGGAAAACCACGAGGACUCAGUUUUUAUCUGGGGGAACGUUCCCUUGCAGAGGGCAUUUUUUUUGUGUGCUAUCCGAUUGGCAAGAGGCGGCUGCACUAACCGGGCAUCAUGCAUUAGAUUGUUCCAUCUCCUUCCUCCACCCAGAAAAGAAACUCAGGCCGUUCUACUUUGCAGAUAUUUUCCCCUAGAAAAAAAAAAGUUAUUAAUGUCAAACCAAGCGAGCUUUGCAGGCUGUUUUACACCCAGCACUCGCAGCAGCACCCACCUGAGACACAGAUGA
rnacentral:lncRNA from 1 species